UGAGGUGGUCCGAGGGGUGGAGUUGGAGGGAUGAUCCAUAUCCUUAAGGGUGGAGGAAGGAAAUUAUAUCUCCGCGGUGCCGAGGACGCCGGCUAAGUAUUGACUGUCCGCCUGGUCCCGCACGAAGAUGGCUUCGCCGGCUGCCUUCCUAGCAUCGAGCGUGCGCAAGGUUGUCCUGGUAACGGGAGCUAACAGUGGCAUUGGACUGGCUGUUUGUGGUCGCAUUCUGUCUCAGGAUAACCAGAUACACCUGUGUAUGGCAUGUCGAAACAUGCAGAAAGCGGAGGCUGCUAAGUCUGAACUUCUGCUGUCACAUCCAGGGGCUGAUAUUAGCCUUCUGAAGAUGGACAUAGGAGAUGUUAACUCGGUGAUCAAAGGAGCAAUAGAAAUAAGACAAAGGUAUCAACGUUUAGAUUAUCUCUAUCUAAAUGCUGGGAUUAUGCCAAACCCUCAAUUCAAUUUGAAAGCCUUUCUGGAUGGUUUGUUUUCCAGGAAAGUAUUUCAUAUGUUUGCAACUGGGUAUGGAUUGCUAACACAGGAAGAUUGGCUUACCGAUGAUGGACUACAGCAGGUCUUUAUGACAAAUGUCUUUGGACAUUUUUUACUAAUACGAAACUUGGAACCUUUGUUUGAUCAAGCUGGCUGUACGUCACAGGUUAUUUGGACGUCUUCUAGUAAUGCAAGAAAAUCUGCCUUCAGUUUAACUGACUACCAACAUAGCCAAGGCCAGGAAUCUUACAGUUCAUCUAAAUAUGCAUCUGAUCUUCUGAGUGUAUCCUUGAACAAACACUAUAAUAGCAAGGGUCUGUUUUCCAGUGUGGUAUGCCCAGGACUUGUGAUGACAAAUUUGACCUAUGGCAUUUUUCCCCCCAUCUUAUGGACAAUUUUAACACCCUUUAUGUGGCUGAUCCGUAUAUUUACAAAUUCAUUUACUUUGAACCCAUAUAAUGGAACAGAAGCAAUGGUUACAAUUUAUUUCCAAAAGUCAUUUCUUUUGUAUACAAUGCAAAUCAAAUUGCCCAAUGGAGCUGUGUCAGGUUUGGUUGUUCACACAGAAGCCAGAGUCAUUGGAUCCACUGGUGAAAUACCAUAGCUGCACAUCUGGAUUAGGAAGUAAUUAUGUUGCCCAAUACAAGAUGGACAUUGACAUUGAAACAGCUGAAAUAUUUUAUCAAGAAAUGCUGAAGCUUGAAAGCAAGAUGAAAGCAAACAUUCAGAAAACUGGGGACAAUGGCUAGCAUAUUGUACCAAUUUGUAAUGGGGGCAUUUGGAAACUACUCUUUUAAAAAUGGGAUUUGUAUGUCAUGUACCAUUUUAAAAUAGUAUAUUUUAGGAAUCUCAACUUUAUAUUCCCUGUCAGCUUUAUAUCUCCACAUACGUGUGCGUGUGUGUGUGCGUGUGUGUGUGUGCGUGUGUGUGUGUGUGUGUGUGUGUGUGUGUGUGUGAUAUAGAUAGGCGGGUAGGUAGGUUUGGGAUACAGGGAAGUAAGAAAGGGAAUAGGACUGAUGGUAUUGCUUACUUGGGAGUUGGCAUGGACCCAAAUGGACUGAGUAGCUUCCUUCUAUGUUGUUGUGAGAUAAACCCUGUGUUUAGUUCAACUAAAAACAGUUUAAGUAUUUCAAUAGAAAUGUGAGUAACUCUAUGUUUUAUUAUCUAUUACUACAAAAUUCCAUGUAUGUUGGUACAAUGUUUAUAUGCUAAUAGUCACAGUUGAAUAAUUAAUCACGUUCCUGAUUAAGUGGAGUAGAAUUUCCUGCUGUUGUGAGCCAUACCUGUACAUCUUGGCCAUUGACCAAGGCAAAUACUGAAGUCCUGUGAGGCAGCAGGACUUUCUUGGUGCAAUGUCAUUGCACUGGGAGGGAGCAGCAUGACCAGGAAGUAAAACCACUAAAAAAAAAUACCCUUAAUAUCUAUCUAAAUGAUACACCACAAUGCAAAAACAUUUAUAGUGAAAACUAUUAAAGACUUAAACAUUAAAAGAAAGACAUGAAGUCAUCUCUAAUUAUACAUUCCCUAAUACUUAAUCAGAAUCCAAGUGAUUAUACUUGUCCAUGUGAAAUGAAUGGAUGUGCUGUUCCUGGGGCAGAACUGGCUUGAUCACAGUUCUGAAAUCCAUGGACAACAGUGGUCUGAAAUAUUGGAAUUUGUGUUUUAAUUUAAGAUUGAGUAUAAAAUUAAUGUGGAGAAACACUAACAUUUUUAAUAAGAUUUGCUAAGGGAUGCAUUCCCGGAAUAGUUGGUAAUGAGAAGGAAAAUGCUGAAUUAUUUCUAAGCUAAUCCUUCCUAAUAGAUUUUAGUGUCUGAACUUUCUGAGAGUAGGAAACAUUAAUCAGUUAUGGUUAUUGUCUGUAAACAAAAGUCUUAAAGUAUGGUAAUUUACAAUAGUGAUGAAUUUAUUUUUGUCAUGGUCCAUAUGAUCGUAGUUAUGACUGGUGUGUCUAGCAGAGAACAUUGGAGGAGCAAUAAUAGUAAGAAGUCAGUUACCUUAUCAUGCUUGCCCAAGGAAUGAUGUGUACAAGGACACUGAGAAAACUUACACUCUUUUGCCACAGCUUUGUUUUACAUUUAGACAUCAGUGCAAUAUCACGUCAGAUAUCAUUCUGUCUCAGAGGCCAACAUCAGAACAUCCUUCAAGAGCGUGAAACCUGGCAAGGCACCAGGCUCAAUGGUGUAUCUGGAAAGGUGCUGAAAACCUGUGCCAACCGACUGGCUCAAGUCCAACCUGGCAUUGCUGCAUUGGAGGCCCCCCCACUUCAAAAGGGCACCAAUCAUACUGGUACUCAAGAACAGCAGGCUGAUCUGCCUCAAUGACUUGGCACCCAGUAGCAUUUGUAACUACUACAAUUAAACCGUGCCUGAGCAAGGAUUUCGAUCUUAAACAACAGGAAUUCUGCAGGUGCUGGAAAUUCAAGCAACGCACAUCAAAGUUGCUGGUGAACGCAGCAGGCCAGGCAGUAUCUGUAGGAAGAGGUGCAGUCGAUGUUUCAGGCCGAGACCCUUCGUCAGGACUAACUGAAGGAAGAAGAAAGUGAGUUUUGAAGGAUCGAUGAGGCGGAUCGAUCCAAAUUGAUAUUCCAACGGUGAAGAAGGGGUUGACUGGUGGGGAGUUGUCUAUGUGUCUACCCUUGCCGAGGUGAUGGCUCCACCACAGGAAAACUGGUCCCCCUGGUUAAAGUCACAGUCGGUGACCGGUGACUUGUAAAGGAUUUCGAAGGACGACAAGAAGAUCGACGGCAUCAGCUCACCUGAAGACUCGACUCUUCCCUCUCUCCCCCCCCUCUCCUCCCCCUCUCUCCCCCCAUCACUACUCAACUAAAUACCACGAACUGAACUUUACUCAGCAUUGUAAGACUGUAUCUUUUUACCCCCAGACUUAAAGAAGCUUGGUUUUCAUACAUAUAUAUUCCACACUUACUUUUAUAUAUAAUCAUUGCUAACCUGUUUGAUUUAUUCACAUUUAUAUUUACUGUAUUGUGUAGUUAUUAAUAAAUAUUAUUAGUUUAUAGCAAUACUAGACU